rnacentral:rRNA from 1 species
GAUUUCUGACUGACCGUCCUGGCCCGCUUCUUUUACGGGAGUGAGUGCCGGUACGAGUUUGUCAUCCUUCUAGAAGGCAGCGCCUACCGUUCAUUCGUGCGGGCGUUUGCAGUCUAGAUCUUUUACUUUGAAAAAAUUAGAGUGUUUCAAGCAGGCUUUAUGCUAUGAAUACAUUAGCAUGGAAUAAUAAUUUAGGACUUCGGUUCUAUUUUGUUGGUUUCUAGGACUGAAGUAAUGAUUGAUAGGGAUAGUUGGGGGUGCUAGUAUUCAGCGGCCAGAGGUGAAAUUCUCGGAUUCGCUGAAGACUAACUUAUGCGAAAGCAUU